GAAUCAAUGCAGUGAUCUUUUGUUAUCGGGAUAAUCAACAAUAUGUCCUGAAAAAGACACCACUGGUUUGAAAUAAAACAUAUGCACUGAUAAAUAUAUUCUAGGUCUGGUAUGUCUUUGAGGAUUUUUGCACAAUGUAACGUCAGAGAUUUAUGUACUCGAUUAGAUCAGUCUGACCAGAGAUCUGAAAAUCCCAAUGAUUGAUCUCCGUUUACGCUCCCCACUGACAUCUCCAGAGAAAACACCACUAGCUUCAGCCGUGAAUGUACAUUUCGUGGUGGGGAUUUAAAUCGUAUGAAGAACAACAUUAUUUGAAGAUCAAGAAAGGCAUUCGACCGCGCCUAUCUCGGAUCAACCAACAUCGUCUAAAAAGGGAUACAAAUAAAGCCGUUUUUGGAGUGUUGACUGACAGUGACGCGCAACACCGGCAGAGGGGAGAGCUGACAGGAAAUACCCAUCGCUGCUGAUGGUGUACGAACGACAGUAGAGGACUACUCGUACACCCUCCGCUUUCCGUUUUACCUACGCCCCAAACCAAGCGGUUCAUGCGAAAGAAGAUACUCUCUAGAACAGGCCGAUUAGGAAGAUAGCAAGGAGUGGCGGCCAGGCGAGAGGGAGGCUACGGCAAACCAUCUCUCCCAGAUAUACCUCCAUUACGCCCACCUACCACCGCCUCCUUCAGCCAUGGAUCCGCCGAGGACUCGGUCACGUUCAGGUUUCUUUCAUUAUGGCAUGAACGGUGGUGGCAACGGCAAUAACACAAUCAACAAUGGGAACAUGAUGAAUGCCAGCGGAGGGAUCGGGGUGAAUUACCCUCAACAGAACAACCCCGGCUGGGUUCCGCACGGAGCGCGCGGUAGCUAUUCGGAGAACCAGCACACCCAGGGGAACUACCUGUCCGGUGGGGCCCAACGCCACCCUUCCCACGGAGCACACAGACACCCCGGCACCGGUAAGCUUCAAGGCUCCCUUUCCAUACGAAUCUAGAUGUAGCACACCCCGUGCAUACAUUAGUGUACCUUUUGUGAUUUAGCAUGUGCCAGGCUUGACAUGUAAACAGUGCAGUCUUCCUCCUCGUCAGUGCAAUGUUCUAGCCUUUUGUCUAAAAAGAUAAGAUGCCAACAACCAUAUUUGAACCUCCAGUGUUGUCUGUAGUCAGG
ensembl:lncRNA